CUUCUCCAAUAAAUUUUCAUUUCAAAAACCCCUCACAAAUGCAGCCCAACUUGACAACCUCCUCCAAUCCAAAUUCUCUCCUUCUUUGAAAAAAAAGAAAAAAAACCUAAUUUUGAUCAAAACUUGAAGUCCCAUUCAAUCAAAUGCCCUAACUUUCUGCCCACAUUCCUUCCUUGGUUACUCUUCUUCUCCCUCACCAAGCUUGUACUUCCCUCAUUUUCUGAUUCGCCGACACUUCCCCACUAUUGUUAUUGCACAGUUCCCUCUAGGGUUCCUAUAAUCCCAUCUCUUUGUUUCUCCAAUCUCCCAAUCAUCCCCCACGGUUUUGUCCGCUGGGCUUUCUAGGGUUUCUUCCCUGUUCAUCAGAUUGGGGAUUUAAUUUAAUGUUAAUUGUAUUUCUAAUUGUCGCUUAGAUUUUUAACUACUGGGUAGGAUUCUAUUUUGUGAUAUUUGUUUCCUGAAAUACGCAAAGGUUGGUUAGUAUUUUUGCAGCAAAUGAAAAUUUGAACUUUAAAGGGGAAAAAAAGGAAAAAUCCUAUUUGGGUUAUUAGUAGUUUUGGAGCCGAAGGUUUCCUUUUGGUUUUUUUCGGAAGAAAGGGUCUACCUAGAGCAAAAAAUUGAUUUCUGUGUUUUUGUAUUUUAGUUGCCAUUGUUAUUUGGGAUUGGGGAAAGAUUCAGCUUUGCUGUAUUGCUUUUGGGACUUUUGGGGUAAAAGGAAGAGUUAUUGUUUGGUGUAGAAGUGAAGGGAAAGUUUAAGCUUGCAUGGGCGAACAUGAGGGGUGGGCACAGCCACCAAGUGGGCUUUGGCCGAAUGGCCUAUUGCCCAAUGAAGCUGCCUCGGUAAUGCGAGUUCUCGACUCAGAGCGAUGGUUGAAGGCGGAAGAGAGAACUGCAGAGCUUAUUGCCUGCAUUCAGCCCAAUCCACCCUCCGAGGAGCGCAGAAAUGCCGUCGCCGAUUAUGUUCAGCGGCUCAUAAUGAAGUGCUUCCCCUGCCAGGUGUUCACUUUUGGAUCUGUACCCCUGAAGACGUAUUUGCCUGAUGGAGAUAUUGACCUGACAGCCUUCAGUAAGACUCAAAAUUUGAAGGACACAUGGGCCCAUCAGGUUCGUGAUAUGCUGGAGAAUGAGGAGAAGAACGAGAAUGCUGAAUUCCGCGUGAAAGAGGUUCAGUACAUUCAGGCAGAAGUGAAGAUAAUCAAGUGCCUUGUGGAAAACAUUGUAGUAGACAUAUCAUUCAAUCAGCUGGGGGGCUUGUGCACCCUUUGUUUCCUUGAGGAGGUUGAUCAUUUGAUAAAUCAAAAUCAUUUGUUCAAGCGUAGUAUCAUUCUGAUAAAGGCCUGGUGUUAUUAUGAGAGCCGAAUACUGGGUGCUCACCAUGGACUUAUCUCAACUUAUGCGCUGGAAACUUUGGUUUUAUACAUAUUUCACGUUUUCAACAACUCCUUUGCUGGACCACUUGAGGUCCUGUAUCGUUUUUUAGAGUUUUUUAGUAAAUUUGACUGGGACAAUUGUUGUGUUAGCCUAUGGGGUCCUGUACCCAUUAGUGCACUUCCAGAUGUAACUGCCGAACCUCCUCGAAAAGAUGGUGGAGAGUUAUUACUGAGCAAAUUAUUUCUUGAUGCCUGUAGCUCAGUGUAUGCUGUUUUCCCUGGCGGUCAAGAAAAUCAGGGCCAGCCUUUUGUUUCCAAACAUUUUAAUGUUAUUGAUCCUUUGCGAAUCAAUAACAACCUGGGACGUAGUGUUAGUAAAGGUAACUUCUUCAGAAUACGCAGUGCAUUUGCAUUUGGGGCUAAAAGGCUGGCCAGGUUGCUUGAUUGUGCCAAAGAGGAUCUAUAUUUUGAAGUAAAUCAGUUUUUCCUGAACACUUGGGAUAGACAUGGGAGUGGUCAUCGACCUGAUGCACCACGAAACGAUUUGAGGCGCAUGAGACUUUCAAAUCCAGACCACUUACAUGGAUCUGAGAAUCUCAGGAACAUUUCACGCGACCAAAAAAACGAAAGUUCCUCUGGUCGUGGUACUCAUGGUGACGGGAUGCUUGGCUCACUUAGUGUUCCCUCCCAGCAUGGUAGUUAUCCUUUAGAAAGCACAUCCGGGAACAGUGAUGUGCCUACUGGAACUCAUGCUCAAAGCCAAAAGAAUCAUGGGAACACAAACACUGCUAGGGCGUCUGAUCAGAUUAGAAAGGAAACCAAUUCCAAUCUGGGUGCAAAGGUUGAUAAAGGUCAGAGAAGUUCUAGACCUGAUAACUUGGUGAAUGACCUCCAUGGGAGGUUUCUUUUUGCAAGGACACGUUCUAGUCCUGAGCUUACUGAUUCGUAUGGUGAAGUUUCUUCUCAAGGUAGACGCAACAGAGCCCCUGAGAGUGGGAAAACCCAAACUUAUUCGACAAGGUUGGAUAAUAGCAGGAGGAAAAACCUGGACUCUGACAGUAUGGCAAGCCACAGAGUUAGAUCUUCAACUGAUGAUCCUUCAUCUGCUAGACACAUCUCAUCCCGUCAAAGCCUUGAUGCUACUGUUGAUUCAAAUAGCUAUCAUGACGAAUCGGGAUUGAAUGCCAUUGCUGAUGAUUAUGCUUCUAUUUCGGGGACACAAGGGAUGCACCAGGAGGAGCAAGAUCUUGUUAACAUGAUGGCAUCUUCUACAGCUCAUGGUUUUAAUGGGCCAGUCCAUCUUCCAUUGAAUUUGGCUUCGAGUCACCUACCACUUCCAAUCCCACCAUCCAUCCUUGCUUCUAUGGGAUAUGCUCAGAGAAAUAUGGGUGGAAUGGUUCCCACAAAUUUUCCCAUGAUUGAGACUCCUUGGGGAACAAAUAUGCAAUUUCCCCAAGGUGUUGUCCCAUCGCCAUUAGCCCCUUAUUUCCCUGGCUUGGGGUUGUCUUCGAAUCCUGAAGACUCAGUGGAACCUAGUAAUGAGAAUUUUGGAUCUGUGGAAAUGAACUCAGGUGAAACUGAUCAUGAUUUCUGGCAUCAGCAGGAAAGGGGCUCUACUGGUGGGUUUGAUCUUGAAAAUGGAAGUUUUGAAUUGCUUCAGGAAGAUGAUAAGCAACAGUCAACUUCAGCUGGUUAUAACUUUCAUCCUUCAUCUCGGGUAGGCACCUCAGGAAGUUCUAUUCGAGUUCAACAAAAGCCUAAAGAAAACCGAGAUGAAUUGAGGGAAGAUCAUGUGGAUAAUUUUCAGUAUCAAGAUAACAAAGGAAAUGAGGUAUACUUUGAUGACCGAACUGUGAGUUCUAGGUCUGCAACUUAUACAAGUUCAGUGAGAAGUAAGACCUCCUCUGAGAGUUCUUGGGAAGGAUCAUCAGCAAAGGUCUCAAAGUCAACAAGGGAAAAACGGGGUAGGAAAACUGCUCUUUCAGCAGCGCCGUCUGCUGCAUUUGGGAAAGGCAAGAGUGUGUCUGAACAUUCAUCUACCCAGGCAGAUGAUGACAACAGAGAUUGGAAUCAACCUACGACUUUAGGUGCCGAAAUGGUAGAAAGAAGCACAGGAUCUCAACCCACUGCUUCUUUGCAUGUUCCAAGGCAUCAAAUGCCUGGUUUUGAACCAUCUCAGACAAGUGGAUCAGAUUCGUUGAUACCAUUUGCUCCAGUGCUCUUAGGUCCUGGUUCACGACAGAGAGCUUCAAAUGAUUCUGGGAUGCUUUUUUAUCCUACGGGGCCUCCAGUUCCAUUUGUUACAAUGCUUCCUUAUAAUUACUUCUCAACAGAGACAGGAACUUCAGAUGUAUCAGCUAACCAAUUUAGUAGAGAAGAGGGACCGGAUAAUAGUGAUUCUGGUCAGAAUUUUGAUUCAUCUGAGGGAGCUGAUCAGCCUGAGGUAUUAAGUACUUCUAACUCUAUUGGAAGGGCUGCUCCUAUUGAGGCAUCAGAGCAUAAGUCCGACAUUCUACACAGCGAUUUUGCAAGUCAUUGGCAGAAUUUGCAAUAUGGACGUAUUUGCCAAAAUUCUCGGCAUCCUUCACCUGUGGUUUAUCAAUCACCAGUUAUGGUGCCCCCUGUCUACUUACAAGGACGAUUUCCUUGGGAUGGCCCUGGGAGACCUCUUUCAGCCAACAUGAAUCUUUUCAAUCAGCUUGUGGGUUAUGGGCCUCGACUGGUUCCUGUUGCUCCUCUCCAGUCUGUUUCUAACAGGCCUGCCAGUGUUUAUCAACGUUAUGUCGAAGAGAUUCCAAGAUAUCGCAGUGGGACUGGGACCUACCUGCCAAAUCCUAAGGUUACUGUACGGGAUCGGCAUCCUUCAAGCACAAGAAGGGGGAAUUACAAUUAUGAAAGAAAUGAUCACCAUGGUGAUAGAGAAGGAAACUGGAAUACUAAUUCAAAGUCACGAGCUUCUGGCCGCAACCACAGUCGCAACCAAGGUGAGAAGCCAAAUUCAAGAGCAGACCGUUUGGCAGCUAGUGACAGCCGAGCUGAAAGGCCAUGGAGCUCACAUAGGCAGGACUCAUUCCCUUCAUAUCAAUCUCAAAAUGGUCCUAUCCGCUCAAACACUACACAGAGUGGUUCCACAAAUGUUGCUUAUGGCAUGUAUCCGCUACCAGCCAUGAACCCCAGUGGGGUGUCAUCAAAUGGACCUUCCAUUCCAUCAGUUGUCAUGUUGUAUCCUUAUGACCAUAAUACUGGCUAUGGGCCACCUGCAGAACAACUUGAGUUUGGUUCUCUUGGACCAGUGGGCUUCUCAGGAUUGAAUGAAGUUUCACAGCUAAAUGAGGGGAACAGGAUGAGUGGAGUAUUUGAGGAACAAAGGUUUCAUGGUGGCUCUGCUCGACGAUCUUCGCCUGAUCAGCCUUCUUCACCCCACCUCCAAAGGUAGUUGGUUCAGGUGUAUUUUUCCUUCUUUUGGGGGAGGGAUUUUGGUGGUUGGUGGUUGGUGGUUCUGGGUGCCAUGGGGAGUUUGAUUAUUUUGCCAGAUCAGUGGCCCAGAGGAAUUAUCAGAUGAAAGAUGAGGAUUUUCCACCUCUACCUUUAACAGAUCAGGAAGGGAACGAUGAUAGAAGAAACUACAAUGAGAAUCCCUCCCCUUACCAAGCGUUCUUGUUCUCACCCCAAUCUUAAAAAGGAAGGAAUUUGACCAUUUCAUUCCAUGAUUUCCUAAUAUCUUCCUAAUCACAUCAUAUCUGCUUGGAGCUUUUUGUGUACACUAGAAAUCAAUUUAUUUGCUCCAUUUUCAAGAAUACAAACUUUGGUGGUAAAUGAGGGUGAUGGUGAUGUGAUGAUGAAGGGGAAGGCCGGACUCGGCGUCUUAAAUUCCAGUUUAGGGUUAGGCACUUUGUAACUCUACUGAAGUAGAAACUCGCUUUAGGUUCAGAACUUAGGAUUUUACUGUGUUACAUAAUUGGUCUACCUGAAAUCUCUCACACAAUGUACUAGGGUUUUUGGAUGAGUAGCUGUGUAUCCGUUCUCUUUUAUGUACUCUUGUUUAAGAUUUUCAAGAGAGUAGUAAUUACACCACCAUAGAUGAAAUUGGGUCAUGUUUGGUUUA